rnacentral:rRNA from 1 species
CUGAUUGUGAGAUAGCAAUAUUUCACAGUCGGAGUGGCGCAAGGGUGCGUAACACGUGGGCAAUUUGCCGCGAAGCUCGGAAUAACUCGCUGAAAGGCGAGCUAAUACCGGAUGUGAUUCUUGGGAGGCAUCUUCCGAAAAUUAAAGCUGGGGACCGUAAGGCCUGGCACUUCGCGAUAAGCCCGCGGCCUAUCAGCUAGUUGGUGAGGUAACGGCUCACCAAGGCUAAGACGGGUAGCUGGUCUGAGAGGACGACCAGCCACACUGGAACUGAGACACUGGCCAGACACCUACGGGUGGCUGCAGUCGAGGAUCUUCGGCAAUGAGCGCAAGCUUGACCGAGCGACGCCGCGUGUGCGAUGAAGGCCUUCGGGUUGUAAAGCACUGUCGAGGGGGAGAAAAGCGCAAGCUUGAUCUAUCCCUGGAGGAAGCACGGGCUAAGUUCGUGCCAGCAGCCGCGGUAAGACGAACCGUGCGAACGUUGUUCGGAAUCACUGGGCUUAAAGGGCGCGUAGGCGGGCUGCCAAGUCUGUGGUGAAAUCCCUCGGCUUAACCGAGGAACUGCCGUGGAUACUGGAAGUCUCGAGGAAGGUAGGGGCAUGCGGAACUACGGGUGGAGCGGUGAAAUGCGUUGAUAUCCGUAGGAACUCCGGUGGCGAAGGCGGCGUGCUGGACCUUUUCUGACGCUGAGGCGCGAAAGCCAGGGGAGCGAACGGGAUUAGAUACCCCGGUAGUCCUGGCCCUAAACGAUGGGAACUAGGUUGUAGGCUAGACAUGGGCUUACAGCCGAAGCAAAAGUGC